UACGUAGGGUCCGAGCGUUGUCCGGAUUUAUUGGGCGUAAAGAGCUCGUAGGCGGCUCAGUAGGUCGAUGUGAAAACUCGGGGCUCAACCCCGAGACGCCAUCCGAUACUGCUGUGGCUUGAAUCUGGUAGGGGAGCACGGAAUUCCUGGUGUAGCGGUGAAAUGCGCAGAUAUCAGGAGGAACACCGGCGGCGAAGGCGGUGCUCUGGGCCAGUAUUGACGCUGAGGAGCGAAAGCCAGGGGAGCGAACGGG
rnacentral:rRNA from 1 species